GCCCGGCUGUGUCGACUGUUGCGUUUGUUGUCCUGCAACAUUGAUGUCACAACACUGUUUUGUUGAUUGCGAUUGUUGUAAAAGAUCCACAUGUAUUUUCACCAUCAUAUAUUUUCUAAGAUCAGCUAUAUGAAAUAGAAUAAAAUUAGAGAGAAAAUAAUGAUGUAAAUAUUGCAAAAUCUGACUGAUAUCUUUUACGCAGAUCGUGUAUUGAUGGGAUGAGGUAGCCAAAAUAAGGA